rnacentral:lncRNA from 1 species
CCGUCUCUCUCUCUCUCUCUCUCUCUCUCUCUCUCUCUCUCUCUCUCUCUCUCUCUCUCUCUCAUAGCUACCUAGAAAACCAACAAAUAACUCGGUAACAGUGUCAUCUAGAGGCGUAGAACAAACAAUACAAUACAGUAAACAUGUUCAAUAAACAAAGGACGUCAGGAGGAGGCAGUGUUCGUACGUACGUACGUGUGUGUGUGUGUGUGUGUGUGUGUGUGUGUGUGUGUGUGUGCGCGCGCGCGCGAGCGUGUGUGUGUGUGUGUGUGUGUGUGUGUGUGUGUGUGUUACGCGCGUUCACUGUUCCGGUUUAGCGUCGUGGGUUCGGCUUGGCUUUGUCCCCGAGCGUUGUGGCGGCGCGGGCAAGUAGGUUGGCACUAACGCCACCACAGACGGUAGAAAAUACAUGAGUCUUGGUGAUGCGAUGCUAAUAAUGGUCACCUAGCUACUCAUACUAGCGCUACUUAUAAACACAAUUUAAAUAUUCAUAGAUUUCCGUCAUUACCAUUCGCGGAAACCAUCCAUGUCAUUAUUCUUUUUUUUUUUUCUGAAUCGAGGAUGCUUUGUUUCUCUCUCUCAGAAUCCGUAAAGCUUAACUGGAGCAAAUCGUAAGUAUACAUUUUUCCUUUCUUCAUGAUUCAUUAAACUUACCAGAAGGCAGUUGGUCCCUCUUGUUUAAAUUCGAGUUCACCUUUUCCUUCACUGUUUGAUGACACAGCAGCGUUCACUGGACAUAUGGAAGCGAGCAAGUUGAGAUCAAAAUCUGCCAUGACUGACAGCGGGAACAAGUUUGCCUGCAGCCAGUCAUGUCUGACGACCUUGCCUCCUUACUCAGCUCGUGUGCAGGCAAAGCUCUUCACGGCGAUCAAUAGUACUUCCGUAUUUACAGGGUUUCUAUUUUGUGAUACACCUCCAAUCUCUCGUUCAAGCCCCACCGGGACGCGGCUGCUGGGCGAUGAACAGCCUUGGCGAGCACCCCUGAUGUCAGCACGGCUGCUGCUGCUGCUCCUCCCUUGGCGGGGACCAGCAGCGGGCGGUCGUGCGGCGAACAGUUGGCAGGAAAGUCGCACGCAUUACCUCAGCCAUGCAGGACACACUCUGAUACGCAAUAUAACGUAUAAUGGAAUUAUCUGCGACGCACCAAGUGUUAAAAAUCACAUCAAAUAAAUGCUGGGAGAGAGAGAAAACAAGGCAACAGACAAAAAGGUUCACCUUGGCCAAAACAUUUCAAGUCUGCUGCAAUGUGCAGUACUUCCUUAGAGCAGCAGGACGCCCUCCCCACACCGGGAAGUGAUGGUCCGAGCUGUCUGGCUCACACCCCGGGAUCGAGGGGCGCAGCGCAGCGGUGACUGUUGGAAAGAGUCUGGAGAAGAGGAACAAAAGAGGAAGGGAGGAGGGAGGAAGUCUGUAGUCUGUACCCUAAAAGUUAACACUACCACUUUCGGGUUCCUCUUUACUGGGCGCCCCAACUCCCCGUAAAAGCUGUGGUGCAACCAGCACUCUUCUCCUUCGUAGACUUGCAAAUCUACAAACAUUACAGUGUCACCGAGACCGUGGCAGUGAAAUCUAAUAACUUUCUCAAAUCUUCCUUUUCUCUGGGUUUCCUCCUUAUUUCCUCCUGCUCCCCUGUCCAUCCUCCACCUCCUUGACGCUGAGAAUAACUUAAUUGAAUAAGUUCUUCUUUAUCUUUUUCUUUCAGUUCUUCAUUACACCUUCCGCCUCUCUCUCUAUCUCUAACCUGAAGAUCACUCUCUGACGCUGGUGAGCCAAAUAGCUCCUCGGCGCGCACACAUACGUGCCCUGACGCCGUGUAAACCAAUCAAUCAAAGUAAAGAAAUCUCCAUACGCUUGUUUUAUCAGGGUUGGCGGGCGGCGGGAGGCAGGCAGCGGGAGGGAGGGGGAGCUGCCGUGCCCUGUGUUACCGCGGUCCAUUUUUUGUGUUUUCGUGACGCAAAUCUUAGUAGACAAGAAUGUGUUGUGUAAAUAUUUCAUCAUUUUGACGAUAGGAUUAUUAUCAUCUUGUUUGUGUGUGUGUGUGUGUGUGUGUGUGUGUGUGUGUGUGUGUGUGUGUGUGUACGGAAGGAGAGGCAGUUCGAGCCAGUGUGCGAGUCAGUGAGUUAGUCCCCGUGGCGGUGCGGGGUCAAUAAAUUUAUUUCCUUAUCUUUAUUUCCCCUUGAGCUCCUUCCUUGCCCUGAUCUGCACAAUGCCAGUUUCCUCCCCGUCCAAACGCACGCAGGACAAACAGAUCUACCAAUAAACUACAAACACAGAAUUGAUUAUUUUUUGUUCUUGGCGCCAUCGGUAUGUCAUGACUAUUCUUAGCGUCAUCUGCGUGCAAGAAUCCAAAAGAAUAUUAUUAAAAAAGCAAUCCUCUCAAAGUUUAGAAUAUAGUACUUGGUGUCUUGGCAUCUGAAUCAAUUAUGGAAGCUCUACCUCGUCAAUUGAUCGCUACUUCACGUGCAGUCAGCAUUACGUGGAAUGAACGCGUGGGAUGGGAAGGCGUUAUACGUAACCAGUCUUUUCUCCCAGUGACUCCUGAUCUUGGGUUGAGAUACAAGACUAGGAUGGGAAUCAUUUAAGCCAAGGGAUGCAGUUAGUGGUGUAGGAAGGCGUAGAAUGAAGCUGCCGUGUGACUGUUGUUCUCUCUAUUCAGUACAGAGAAAUGAAAAACCACGAAUUCAUCCUACGUUUUCCUACACCACUAACUCCACCCCGUCUGCUCCUUCCCGCCGCUCAUUGCCUCGUAUUCGCUGCCUGUUCGAACCAUACAUCUUUCCUCUAUCUCAGAAUGAACUGAAUUAAGUGAAGGAGCAAGGAGGAUGAAUCUUAAACUCUCCUGUCUGACCAUGCUAUGGGAGGAAGCUGACUGCCCUUGCACUGUAUGGAGAGACGGAAAUUUAAGGUCAAGUUCCGAAGCAUCACUUAGUUGUUCAUUCUCACUCAUAGCUUGGUUCGAAAUCCCUGAACUUUGAAUUAUUCAUAUUGUGUCCAUUUGUUUGCCAGAAUGGUGAAUGAUGCAACAAAAACUUGUGUAUACUACUUAAGAAAAAAUACCGGAAUAUGAGAAGGUUUUACGUACUGCUCAAAAGUUACCGUUAGUGAUAAUGCGACACUUGUAUAACUACUUACAUCGUUCGUGUUUUUGUGUUUUGGUCGCAGAGUGUGUGUGUGUGUGUGUGUGUGUGUGUGUGUUGACGCACGCGCACGCUUCCUAUGCUCCAAAGAAAAAUAUGAUAAUAAUGGGAGGGAGGGAACCGGCAUCGUGCAAAUCCAUCGAUGUGUUCAAACGAGUCCCUAAAUCAAUUCAACCUUUGUAACAUUAAGUGCAUACGUGGUGUAAAAUAACAAACAUUUUGUUUUUCGUUGUAAUGCGAAUUUCUCUCAAAAUAAAAACCCAGUAAGCUAAUAAGGGCGUCAACAUAAUGCAAUAAGGAGAAAUCAGGAAAUAAAAAAAAAAUAACAAAAAAAUAUAUAUACUGGUAGGUGUAGCCUAAGUCAGUGCCGGGGACGAGUGUUGGGACAUCCCGGGUUCUCAGAGGGCGAGCAGAUCCAGCCCAAUCACAGCACGGCAUUCACUCACAACGACCAAUAGAAAUCAAGCUUUUUUCUCUUUUCUCUAACUACUUUAUUGUGGCUUUCUGCGUCGCCCUCUGAAAAUGGCGGGGAAGAGAAUCCUUUCUUUAUUUUACUUGAUUACCUGUACUUCCUUAGAUUCGCUGGCAACUUUGUAAUAUGGAAGAGAUUUAAAUAAAGUCAAGCAGCAAU